rnacentral:rRNA from 1 species
ACUCAAAUGAAUUGACGGGGGCCCGCACAAGCGGUGGAGCAUGUGGUUUAAUUCGAUGCAACGCGAAGAACCUUACCUACCCUUGACAUCCUCGGAACUUGUCAGAGAUGACUUGGUGCCUUCGGGAACCGAGAGACAGGUGCUGCAUGGCUGUCGUCAGCUCGUGUCGUGAGAUGUUGGGUUAAGUCCCGUAACGAGCGCAACCCUUAUCCUUAGUUGCCAACACGUCAUGGUGGGAACUCUAAGGAGACUGCCGGUGAUAAACCGGAGGAAGGUGAGGACGACGUCAAGUCAUCAUGGCCUUUAUGGGUAGGGCCACACACGUGCUACAAUGGGCAGUACAAAGGGUUGCCAACCCGCGAGGGGGAGCUAAUCUCAAAAAACUGUUCGUAGUCCGGAUUGGAGUCUGAAACUCGACUCCAUGAAGUUGGAAUCGCUAGUAAUCGCGGAUCAGAACGCCGCGGUGAAUACGUUCCCGGGCCUUGUACACACCGCCCGU